rnacentral:rRNA from 1 species
UACGGGGGGGGGUAAGCGUUGUUCGGAAUUACUGGGCGUAAAGGGCUCGUAGGCGGCCAACUAAGUCAGACGUGAAAUCCCUCGGCUUAACCGGGGAACUGCGUCUGAUACUGGAUGGCUUGAAUCCGAGAGAGGGAUGCGGAAUUCCAGGUGUAGCGGUGAAAUGCGUAGAUAUCUGGAGGAACACCGGUGGCGAAGGCGGCAUCCUGGACCGGCAUUGACGCUGAGGAGCGAAAGCCAGGGGAGCAAAGCGGG